AAGUAAGAAGCAAAAAUUGCGUUUAGUUUCGACCUAAAAAUAUGAUACAUUAUCCUUACUUU
rnacentral:tRNA from 1 species